rnacentral:rRNA from 1 species
UACAGAGGGGGCAAGCGUUGUUCGGAAUUACUGGGCGUAAAGCGUGCGCAGGCGGCUUUGCAAGACAGAUGUGAAAUCCCCGGGCUUAACCUGGGAACUGCAUUUGUGACUGCAUGGCUGGAGUGCGGCAGAGGGGGAUGGAAUUCCGCGUGUAGCAGUGAAAUGCGUAGAUAUCGGGAGGAACACCUGUGGCGAAGGCGGCCCCCUGGUUGGAUACUGACGCUGAUACGCGAAAGCGUGGGGAGCAAACAGG